GGAUGAACGCUGGCGGCGUGCCUAAUACAUGCAAGUAGAACGCUGAAGGAGGAGCUUGCUCUUCUGGAUGAGUUGCGAACGGGUGAGUAACGCGUAGUUAACCUGCCUGGUAGCGGGGGAUAACUAUUGGAAACGAUAGCUAAUACCGCAUGACAACAGUUAUUGCAUGAUAACUGUUUAAAAGGGGCAACUGCUCCACUACCAGAUGGACCUGCGUUGUAUUAGCUAGUUGGUGGGGUAACGGCUCACCAAGGCGACGAUACAUAGCCGACCUGAGAGGGGGGUUGGCCGGCCUGGGACGGAGACACGGCCCAGACGCCUACGGGAGGCAGCAGGAGGGAAUCUUCGGCAAUGGACGGAAGUCUGACCGAGCAACGCCGCGGGAGGGAAGAAGGGUGUCGGAUCGGAAAGCUCUGUUGUAAGAGAAGAACGAGUGUGAGAGUGGAAAGUUCACACUGUGACGGUAGCUUACCAGAAAGGGACGGCUAACUACGUG
rnacentral:rRNA from 1 species